ensembl:lincRNA
AUGGAAUGGAAUGUGACUCUCCAGAGCCACACACUCUUCGAGAUAAUGGACUUAUUUGAUAUUCUGCAUGAUACACAUCUCUGCAUUGGACAUGGUAGACGUACUCGCAUGGAGAAAGAAUUGCAAGCUAAAUACAAGAACAUCACAAAAGAAGUUAUCAUGCUAUAUCUGACACUCUGUAAACCAUGCCAGCAGAAAAACUCAGAACUCAAGAAAGUUCUAACAUCAAAGUCAAUUAAGGAAAUUAACUCCAGGUGCCAGGUAGAUCUCAUAGACAUGCAAUUGAAUCCUGAUGGGGAAUAUAAAUUUAUUAUGCAUUAUCAACGCCUUCAUAUGAAGUUAAGUUUUUUGAGGUCACUAAAAUCUAAGAGGCCUCAGGAAGUUACACAUGCUCUUUUAUAUAUUUUUGCCAUUAUUGGAGCACCCAGUUUCUUACAAUGCAAUAACGGGAGAGAAUUUUCAAGCCAGAUCAUCAGAGAAAUCAGUAAUAUUUGGUCAGAAUUAAAGUUGGUCCAUGGGAAGCCUCAGGUUUGCCAAAGUGAAAGUUCUACAGAAGAAAUUGAGGAAAUCCAAAAGAGGAUCUUCUCCUGGAUGCAAGUGAACAAUUCACCACAGUGGGCUGAAUUUUUGUGGCUCAUUCAGAUAAUCCAAAACCAGCCCUAUCACAGAGGCAUGCAGCAGACUGCAUGUGAAGAUGUAGGUAGAUCUGAAGCUAAGCUAGACCUGUCUCAGUUAACUGCAGAGCUUGUUAGCAGACUGCACAGAAAAAAUGAAUUAGACCAGGUCAAUAAAGAGUUAGAAAAUACUCUCAGAGCCCAGCAUGAAGAAAAUAUUGACAUUGGAACAGAUAGUAGUGACACUGAGGAAAAUCUUUCUGUUAUCACUAAUGUGGCUAAAAAUCCCCCUCCUGAAAGCAGGCUAAGAUUUUUAUCCUGUGUAAUUUGUGAAAAAGAAUCCAUAGGGACAGGUAAUUGUGUAUCAUAUCUUGGAAAUGUCCAUGCACUCCAUGGGGUAUCUUCUCACGAGGAGGCUGUAGAGUGUGGUCAACAAAUAAAUGGUAGUCUUUGUCAUGAGACCAGUACAAUGAAAAGGAAACAGAUUCAGAGAGGGUUGCAUGUUCAACCUUCCAAAAUGCUAAAGCCAUCAGAGUUAGCCAUUUUCACCAGACACAGGAGACUAGAUAAGAGUUUGAGUAUCUUAUGUAAUGAAAGCAGGGGAAAAACUUUAUUGCUCUUUGCCGUGCUCUUGAUGGAUAAGAACUUUGGUCUCCUUCAAUGUAUUUUCCCUAAUGAAGGGCAUGACUUCACCUUUUCAUCAGAUUUGAAGUUAUAACUUUGAAUGCUAUGUUGUUUAUUGUUUUGGGGUGAUGAACAGUAUCUCUUUUUACACAUUUCUUGGAACAAGAAAUCUAAUAUCAAGAAGAUACUAUAUACGAUAGCUUUCUACAGAAAAAUGAAUUUGUUUCAAUUUUAUGUGAGUUUGGGUGAAGAGUAAAGGACAUUUCAAAUCAAGUAAAGAUACUUAAGAGAGGUGAGGGAUGAUAAAGUUCAUCAGAAGACAAGUCAUUUGUCUUUUGUUUUUUGGUACAGGGAUUGAACUCAGGACCUUGUGCUUGCAAGACAGGCUAUCACUGAGCUAAAUCCCAGGCCCCAGAAGACAAGUUUGUAUAGGCAGAGUUCAGUUGUGAGAUUAGAAUGGAGAACAUGAGAUAAGGCCUACACAAUUUUAAAUCAGUCUUUCUGAGGUAGAGCUGAUGUUUUGAAAUAGUUACCCUUGAUUAAGGCUAGUGGUAUUCAAAGUAUGAUCUGAAGACUAUUGAUGUUAUGGCUUGCAAAUUAUUUUUACCUGUCCAUGAGAGGAAUAUAAAAACUGAAAUUAUAGAAAUAUAUAAUAAUACAAGAAAAAUAAACAUAACAACUUGGCAUUGCUACAGCAUCCAAGCACAUGAUUAAUGGAUUCAUCUUACUGAAUAUUGACCACUUUAGGUGUUGCUAACUGCUCAAGGUGAAUCUCUUGUAUUGGGAGUUGCACUAGUAAACAUAAUUAAGAUUACACUGUAAUGUUUGCUGUUUUACAUUUAAUUCAUCAUCUGUAACUUAAAAGUACAGUGGUAUUUGGUUCAUGAACUUAAUUCAUUGCACCAUUCUGGAAAAAAUGGCCAUGUUCAUGUUCAUGGGAAAGAUGACUGUGGUUGUAUCUGUCACCUGAUACAGAGUUCACAAGCAAAAACAAAAUUCUGUUUGUGAACCAAAUUGGUACCACUAUAUUUCAAACUCAAAAAUGUAAGCAUUUAUUUAUUUUUAUAACAGUUUAAAAUCACUUUUUGUUUUUAAUCAAGUCUAGUUUUGAAUUUAUUGUUUUAACAUUAAGAUAGGGAAUUAAAUUUUCUAUUACUAAUUGAAUCCUAAUUUGCAGAUGGCGAAAAAAGCUUCACUGGACUUUCUUGACAAGAAAAUACCUUCUUGGAAUAGAGCAGUAGUAAUAAAAAAAAAAGUGGUAGCAGUAGAAAUCAUUCUGGAGAAAGAAAAGUGAAAAGAGUUCAUACAAGUUUUACUAGGAAAUACGAUUCUUCUUAUAUUGAGUUCGGUUUUGUAGCUGUAAUUGAUGGUGAAGUGGUGAAACCACAGUGUAUUAUUUGUGGAAAUGUAUUGGCUAAUGAAGCAAUGAAACCAUCAAAAGUUAAGCAGCAUUUAUAUUAAAAACAUAAAGAAAUAAGUUCACAGGCCGGGUGUGGUGGCGCAUGCCUGUAAUCUCAGCACUCAGGAGGAUGAGGCAGGAGGAUCGCUGUGAGUUUGAGACCAGCCUGGGCUACAUAGUGAGUUCCAGGUCAAUUUCAACUAUACAGUGAGACCCUGUCUCAAACCCCCCCCCAAAAAAGAAAUAAGUUCACAACCAAAAGAAUUCUUUGAGAGAGUAGUGAAUUAAAAAAUCAACUGAAGCAGCUAUUCAAUAUUUCUCAUGUAAAUAUUAGUGCUCUAGGCUGGGGAUUUAGCUCAGUGGUUCCAGCACCUGCCUCACAAGCGCACGGACCUGAGUUCAAUCCCUGGUACCAAAAAUAAAACAAACAAAUAUUAGGGCUCUGAGGGCUUCAUAUAAAGUAGCACUUCCAGUCGCCAAGUCCAAAACACCAUACACAAUUGCUGAGACACUCGUGAAAGACUGCAUCAAAGAAGUUGGCUUGGAAGUGUUGGGUGAAUCUACAACAAAGAAAGUAGCGUAAGUACCUCUUUCCAAUGACACCAUAGCUCACCUGAUUCAAGAGCUGGCUAAUAGCAUGGAAGAGCAACUCAUAGAGCAGAUAAAGUUGGCAAAAUACUUCUCAUUGCAAUUUGAUGAGUGCAGAGAUGUUGCUAACAAUUCUUUUAGUCUAUGUAAGGUUUGAACAUGAUGAUGACAUAAAGGAAGAAUUUUUUUUCAGCCUCUUUGCGUACAAACAACUAGCUCAGAACUGUAUGAAGCUGUGAAGAAUUACAUUGUUCACAGAUGUGGCUUGGAAUUUAAAUUUUUUGUAGGAGUGUGUUCUGAUGGUACAGCUUCAAUGACAGGAAAACAUUCCAAAGUGGUCACCCAGAUUAAGGAACUUGCUCUGGAAUGUAAAAUAACACAGUGCUUCAUCUAUUAUGAUGGUCUUGCUAUGAAAAAAAUAUCCGCUGAACUAUAUAGUGUGCUUAUUGACAUGGUAAAAAUUGUGAAUUAUAUAAAAUCUAAUGCAGUAAAUUCAAGAUUGUUCUCUUUAUUAUGUAGUAAUAUGGAAACUGAUCAUAAGCACCUGAUACUGCAUGCUGAGGUACGGUGGUUGUCUUGGGGGAAGAGUUCUGUCAAGAGUGUUUGAAAUACGAAAUGAUCUCUUACUCUUUGCCAGGCAAGAAACCUGUUUGGGCUCAACUUUUUAAAGAUGUGAAUUGGAUAUCCAGGCUUGCUUAUUUGUUUGAUAUCUUUAGUACUUUUAAUGAUCUUAAUACUUCUGUGCAAGGAAAAAAAUGCAACAUGUUUUUCAGUGGCAGAUAAGAUUGAAAGACAAAAAUGAAAGUUAGAAAGUUGGAAAUACAGAGUUUCUAAAAAUUAUUAUGACAUGUUCCACAAAUUAACAACAAUCAUUAGUGAAGUUCAUGAUCUUGAUAAUGCACAUCUGCAGAAAGUUAUCAGUGAACAUCUACAAAUUUGUUAGUGUCUUGAAUUUUAUUUUCCAUCAAAAGAAGAUCCACGUAUAGGAAAUUCAUGGAUCCAAAACUCAUUUCUCCCAUCAAAGGAUAAUUUGAAAUUAACUGUAGCCUUACAUGAUAAGUUGUUGGAACUAGCUUCUGAUGAGGAAAAUAAAAUAUAAAAAUACAGUAUCCCUUGCUUCAUUUUGGAUAAAAGUUAAAAAUGAGUACCCUGAACUUGCUGAGAUUGCUUUAAAAUCUCUGCUUUUAUUCCCUUCAAUAUGCCUGUGUGAGGCAGGAUUCUCUACUUUUAAGUGUUAUUAAAACAAAACACAGAAACAGAUUAAAUAUACACUAUCCUCUUAGAGUGGCAUUGUUAUCGAUCCAACCUAGAUUAGACUAAGGAGCAAGAAGCAAGCUCACUUAUCACAUUAAAAAUUUUAUGUAAUGACAUGGAAAGUGGUCAUGCAACAUAUGCAUUUAGGCAUUUGGUGUGAGAAAUUUCACUUUAGGCUUUCUGUUUAAUUGCUAUUGUGGAAUUAUGAAGUUAUGAGUAAAAUAGUUCUCUACAUAAAUUGCCUAUUUGUAAACAUUUAGUGAAGCAUUUGUACAAUUUUUAAAUUAUAUUUUCCUGUUAUAUUUAUUGAAAUAUACCUUUUUUUGUUUGCCCUAAUAUUAAAAACUUCAUUUUGUCUUUUGUAUUUCUUUACUAUUGUAUACUUUAGCAGGUUGAGACUAUAGGACAGCUUUCAUGAUGAAAGGGCACAUGAGUGAGUUCAGGGAGUAAAGAUUAGAAUUCAGAUACAGUUCAGGGUGUCAGCAGGAUGCUACAUUUGUUCAACUGAUCAGGGUGGUUAAAUUGGAAGUUGGAGUUUGUUUUGUAGAUACCUUGUUACACUGUGUAAACAGGUGAGGUAUAAUUGUAUUGAAGCUCUGGGCUCAUACUGAAAAAUUCUGUUUUUUAAGGAUGGGAGACUGCCAUGGCAAUAAGCUUAGUCAGAAGGGUUUUAGACUCGGCUGUAUUACUGCUGAAGUACUUAGGACACAGUUAUUAUGAGCGUGUCAAGGAGAUUUGACAUCCUCUAUUGUUUGAAGAUAAUGUCACACAUCUACUCUGUCAAUAUAGUGGCUUAGAAUGACUGAAAACAGAUGGCAUGUGGCAGGGUCUUUAGGGUAAAUGAUAACCAAGAUCCUUGAAGAAAAUAAUAGUCUUCCUAAGGAGGGCAAUUUACAGUAAGUUCUUAUUUUCAUAUAAAUGUAACAUUCAAACUUGAAGAAAGGAAAGAUACAAAAGAUGUCACUAAAGAUUUAUCCUUUUGCUUUGAAAGUGGAGGAAACAUUCGGUCUUGAAACCUUGGUUGGAUUGCAUUCUUUGUGUUUUAAUAAAAGCUUAAAACUAGAAAAAAAUUUAACUGAUAAUGGUGACUAGAUUUAGAAAGUGGUUUAAUUCCUGCAGCCCA